GAUGAACGCUGGCGGCGUGCCUAAUACAUGCAAGUCGAGCGAACAGACGCGGAUCUUGCUCCUCUGACGUUAGCGGCGGACGGGUGAGUAACACGUGCAUAACCUAACUAUAAGACUAGGAUAACUUCGGGAAACCGGAGCUAAUACCGGAUCAUAUAUUGAACCGCAUGGUUCAAUAGUGAAAGACGGUUUUGCUGUCACUUAUACAUGUCUCCGGGCCGCAUUAGCUGGUUGGUAAGGUAACGGCUUACCGUGGCGGCCAUGGGUAGCCGACCUGUGAGCGGGUAGCGCCACUGUGGGACUGAGACACGGUCCUGGCUCCUACGGGAGGCCGCGGCACCGACUCGUGCGAGAUGGGCGGAAGCUUGACGGAGCAGCGCCGGCUGAGUGAUGCAGGUCUGCGGGCCGUAUAACGCUGUUAUUGUUGAAGACCAAUUUUGUAAGGAGCGAUGCUCGUCUUGACGGUACCUAAACAGAAAGCCCCGGCUAACUACGUG
rnacentral:rRNA from 1 species